AUUGAACGCUGGCGGCAGGCCUAACACAUGCAAGUCGAGCGGAGCGGCGGACGGGUGAGUAAUGGCUAGGAAUCUGCAACGUAGCGGGGGAUAACGUUCGGUACCGGGCGCUAAUGCCGCAUACUAUCAGAUGAGCCUAGGUCGGAUUAGCUAGGUGGUGGGGUAAAGGUCUACCAAGGCGACGAUCCGUAACUGGUCUGAGAGGAUGAUCAGUCACACUGGAACUGAGACACGGUCCAGACUCCGACGUGAGGCAGCAGUGGGGAAUAUUGGACAAUGGGCGAAAGCCUGAUCCAGCCAUGCCGCGUGUGUGAAGAAGGUCUUCGGAUUGUAAAGCACUUUAAGUUGGGAGGCGUUACCAACAGAAUAAGCACCGGCUAACUUCGUGCCAGCAGCCGCGGUAAUAC
rnacentral:rRNA from 1 species